rnacentral:misc_RNA from 1 species
ACUUUGACAUUUGUUAUCAUGUGAAACCAAAAUAAAAGUAAUGACAUCAACAAAAUAAAUAAUAAAGAGAAAGAGUUCUAAUUUGUAUACAGUUUUAUGGACAUAACAAUAUUUGUGUCUCGAUAACGCCUAUAAGAAGUAAUGGACGAAUCAGUUGGUGCUCAAUAUGCGAUUCAAAUAGCAGUUCAUACACUAAGGGACAGAUGCAAAAGCUUGCAACAAAGACUGCAACAUCUAGAGGAAGAAAAUGUAAUACUUCGAACCAGAUCUCUCCGAAAAGAGGACACCGAAAUCUCAAUAUCAGAAUUAGAUAAAGUUAGAGUGCAGUUAACUGAAGUAACAGAACAAAAGGACCAAUUAAAUGAACGUGUAAAAAUGGUGACAACCGAGAAUCAAGAGCUGUGGAAUAAACUAGGAAAGUUAAUAAAAGUAAAUAAAAAUUUAAACGAACAAUUUAACAAAAUAAAUGAAACUCUUAACCAACAUACCAGUCCUCCAACAUUAUUAAGAUCCAAAACCUUCACACAAAGUACACCAUUAGUAAAGCACUCUCCACACAAAACAUUGGAAAUCGACGAUAAUAUUAGUAUGGAACUAGAAAACAUAUCUUUAAAACUAACAGACAGCUUUUCCAAACAAAAAAUGGAACUUGAAAAAAUGUGUAUAGACAUCAAUGAUAUGCAAUGCACAGAAAAUGAGAUUAUUACAGAUGAGUUUGGUUUUAAUUUUGAAGAAAAUAUGGAUGAGGGUAUAUGUGAUGAAAUGAACUUAGUAUUAGAUUCGUUAAAACAGCUAAAAGAAGAAGUUUUAAUGCAGAAAGAUGCUUUACUGAAAAGUGUCAAACAAAUGGAAAUGUUAAGGAAACAAAAGUUUUCCUGCAAGAACUGUGAUAAAAGAAAAAACACUAAUGUCGAACAGGCAACGUCCACUGACGACAUCCCUAGACUAAGUGUUGAUACUCAGACUCAAACAACCGUCAAAGAAGAACGCUCACCACCACCGAGGCAACCAAAUAAAAUCGAGAAAAUUUGCCCUGUUUGUAGGCAACAGUUUGAGGACGAAGUGAAAUUUGAAAUUUUUGAAGACCAUGUCAAUAGCCAUUUUCAUCUUGACGUUAGUUCUUUUGAAUUAAUUUAAAGUAGGCAUGUGUUUUCGUUGGCUUUCGUGUGCCUUAAGGGGAAGCAGGGAAUGUGUUUAUUUCUUCGCCACAUCCAACUUUUUGUGACUAAAGAAGAACUUGCCUUAAUAUCCAAAAAUUUUAUAUGUUUAUACUGAGAUAUAUAUGGGAGAUAUGAAAUAAGUUAAAGGAGCAUGUAUAUAGUUAAAAGUAUAGCAAUAAAUAUAGUUGUACCUAU